rnacentral:rRNA from 1 species
AUACGGAGGGGGCUAGCGUUGUUCGGAAUUACUGGGCGUAAAGCGCGCGUAGGCGGCUUAUCAAGUUAGGCGUGAAAGGCCUGGGCUCAACCCGGGAACUGCGCUUAAUACUGGUAGACUUGAGUCCGGGAGAGGGUGGCGGAAUUCCCAGUGUAGAGGUGAAAUUCGUAGAUAUUGGGAAGAACACCAGUGGCGAAGGCGGCCACCUGGCCCGGUACUGACGCUGAGGUGCGAAAGCGUGGGGAGCAAACAGGAUUAGAUACCCCUGUAGUCC